rnacentral:snRNA from 1 species
AUCGCUUCUCGGCCUUUUGGCUAAGAUCAAGUGUAGUAAAUUUCACUGUAAAAAGAGAACUUUCUUCUGAAAACUGUUUAUUUCAUGUUUUAAUUUAGCAUUUCAAAAUGUCUGUAAAAACUUAU